GGCGCCUCAUACGUUGCCUCAAAAUUUCAGAAAAUUCAAAGUUCCCUCUUUUAUGCAAUUAGCGUCUCUUGUACGCUGCCAAUUAGCGCCUCAUGUAGUUUCUCCUUCGCACAGUUCCAGAUUUCAUGUAGUUUCUAGCUUUAUUCUCCGUUUCUUGGAUCUCAAACAUUUUUCUUGAUUCAUCUACCUUGGCGACCGAAUGUCGAUGCCUUUCUUGGAUCUCCUUAAUUCCGUGGAAAUUACUCAUGACCUUUAAUUUGGGUCUCCAUCAUAGGAAACCUAGGUCACGAGUCCAUGUUUAGGCCAUCUUUAAUUUGUUCUCCCAAAUGCUUUAUUUUAUUUUUUUAAGCGAUCUCAUGAAUAAGUUGUUCUGUUCGUUGUUGGAGGACUUGGUGGCCAGUGACGAGAAGUGACGGUGGAGUUGAUGACUAUAGCACUUGAUUUCUCACCAAAUUGCAAGGUGCUGAAUGAUCUUUUGCCCUCUCUCUCUCUCUCUCUCUCUCAAAGUAACACAUCUUUCUUAGCUGUAUAUUUGAGUUUAUUUGGUUAUUUUGAUGCGUGUUUUAUUCGAAUUCAUGUAAGUCGAGGGAACGGGUGGCCGUUGAAGCCAUCAUCGUAUGAAGGUAGGAUUUCCCAUCUCAUCUUGAUUCCAACAGAUUUUAAUUUCUCUCUAUUUUUCACUGCUGUGAUUUUCUUUUGGAGAAUUGGGUGGUAUCAUCUUCAAGUUCACGUUGGUAGUAGGUUCACCCCUCUCCUUAAAUUUUCAGAUUCCUCUCCCCUGCAUGUGUUUUUAUCUUCUACCUAUGCUUUCAAUCUUGAUAGAUUUGGGCUUUCUUUCCAGCAUGCUUACAGAUUUGGACUCCCACUUAAUCAGCUUUCUGAGAAGGAGUGUUGGAAAUGAAAAACACAAACACAGAGCAGGAAACAGAGUCUGCGAUAGUUAUUAAUGGGUAGCAUCUGCAUUAUUUUAAUUUAAACCUUUGUAUCCGUUCUGAGCUUCCCUGCAGCAGUACUCACAUCCCUUUUCGUUCUUUUUCUACUCCAUCAAACUUGUAGUGUUUAGUAUAUUAAUGGCUGUAUCCUAAACAUAGGCUAUCCAUUUCGAUUAAUGGAGGAUCCACCAAACUGCGACGACCCAUCAUGUAAUAUUGUUAUUCAUGUCAUACUUCGAAUAAAAGAAAUUACAACUUGAUAUUGUUAUUCUGACUGAAAAUAUUAUGGGGAAAAUAAUGUUUCUUUUACGUUGGUUGUAAAAUUGAAAAUGAUAAGAACUAAGCUACUUAACUAGACGACGUUGUUGUAUUUUGAUGCUGAGGAGCUAAUGUUAAUUCCUUUAAUUUGCAGCAAAAUCGUAGCUCUUGGCUUUGAUGAAAAAUUUAUAAGGACAUGGAAAUAUUACUUUGAAUAUUGUCCAGCUGGUUUUAAGUCUUGUACACUCGGAGUCUAUCAGGUAUUCAGAGAUAUCAUUUCUCGGCUUCUAUCCCUGGUAAUUUAAGCUGGUUGCAUCCAUUUUUUUACUCACCAUAUUUCCCAUUACUAAUUACUAUGGUUUUCUUGAGCUGUGAAAAGCAAGUGAAUACAUCCUUUUAUUGGAACGAUUCAACUUAUUGCUUUAAGACCGAAGUAUAUUCUUCCAACUCUUCAUCGUCUUCCCAUGAUAUGCAUAGAUAUGUUAAAUAUCUAGAUAGACCUCCAUAUCCAGGGCAGGUGGAGGAAUCUUGUCGAAUAGAGCAAAUAUCCCUAAUAUCGAGGGAAGGCCGUCAAUAUAUCCAAAAAUUGCUUCCUGCGAAGAGAUUCGAAACGAAUUGUUAUGCGGUUUUAAGUUUAAUUGGCUACAUGUUUCUUGUCAAUGUGAGGGACCCAACAAUUGCUACCUCAAUGACGUGAAUAAAAUUUAAUGUGAUAAUGGAUUCUUCAAAGGAUUGGCGGAUGUAUAUAAAGGACUGGUGGACGUAUACAAUGCAUUCAAAAUUCCAAAUCCAUGAUGGGCGCACUUUGAGAAAUUCUUAUGUCAUGCCUUCUCACCUUCCAGCUGGUGGAGUUAUUGGAUCAAUCUUGGUGGUCGUUUGCUUGUUUUGGGUUGAUCUGGUAGAAGAAGAACUACCCAUGAAAGAAAUGGUCGGAAAGUUAACGACAAACAUAAUGUAAAGUAAAAUAAUUAUCCAUGAAGAAGAGCUUUCAUGUAAUGUGAUUUGUGUUACUUUUUUUUUUAUUAUUAUAUGAAUAAUGAUCCAUUAUAUCA